rnacentral:pre_miRNA from 1 species
AAUAAGAUUAUUUUUUAGUUUUUUGCUAUAAUAUUUUGACUCUUUGUCUUAUUUAAUUUUUUUUUGCAAUUAAUAUUUUUAUUCUUACUAGAUGAUAAAACAUUAAAGCAUGAAUAGUACUUUAUGUGUGACUAAUUUUUUUAUAUUUUUGUACAAAUUUUUCAAAUAAGAUAAAUGAUCAAACGUUGGACAUGGAAAAAC